AGAGCUGCUUCCUUUUCACCAGGACCUGCAGAGAGGGCCCAAGACCAAGCUGUGGUGUCCAUCUGUCAGUCCCUCUCUUCAAAUAACAGCAAGCAACUGCUACCAUUUAGUGAGCAUCUACUUUGUGCUAGGCUCUGAGGCAGUGACAGCAAUGGCCACCUUCUGUCAAACACUUCCUAUAUGCCCGGACUGUUUCACUGAGCCCUCAGGACAACACUGUGAGGAGGUUGUGUCAUUGCCCCAUCUUACAGAUGAAGAAACAAAGGCACAGACCAGUGACAUAAUUUACAUGACAGCUGAGAGUGAGAGAGUCAGGACUGGAAUCCAAGAGGCCUGACCCCAGAGCAGUCUCUUAACACCAUGGCGCCGACCCAGGUUAUGCCAAGUCCAGAGUCAGACAAGCCUGUCUUCAAGCUCUGCCAUUAUGCGACCUUAAGCCAGCGAUUCGUCUCGGAGCCUCCGUUUCCUUCCUUCUCUUCCCAGGACACAUGGAUGAGGACGAGUUGAUCUCGGGGGGGGUUGCUGUGAAGCUCACAGGAGGUGAUGCAUUUAAAGAAUCCAGAACACAGAGGGGCUCCAGGAGCAUCGGCCCAGUAGCCAGCCUGGCCCUGCCUGGCCUGCGUUGGUUGCCUGCACCCCUCCCCGGGCACAUUCAGUCUCUGCCCCACGCCCAUUUACAUGCCAAGCCGCCAGCCUUGGCAGGUGAGCCAGGCCCGCCUCCAGCCCUCCUCCUCCUGGGCAUGGCGGGGGAGAGGGCUGGGGCCCGGGGCUGCCUACGUGGGGCCUGGGUUGGGGGCGGACCUGUCAAGGCUCUGGCCUCCUCCUGGCUGGGGUCGGGGAAAGUGGGUGCUGGCCUGAGAGUUCUGGAGAAAGGGGCAACCCCCCCUCGUCUCAUUCCUCCAGCCACUUCCUCAGCCCUCGAUAAAGGUGUUUAAUGAGCAAACACACGUUUAAAGAGAAGGCCCGUUUCUGGGAAGACCCUGGCUCCUCUGAGAUGCCAAAUAGCAGUUCCCUCUCUCACCUCCUGAGACUGGCCUUGCUUUUGAU
rnacentral:lncRNA from 1 species